AUGGGCAACGAGUUGGAUUUCCGGACUAUGGUUGUCCAUCACCUUCUCAAAGGCUAUAUUCCUCGGAAAUGGUCUCUCGCCGUUAUAGCCGGACUGUUUGCAAACCUGCUCGCAGGCAACUUGGGCUUUGGUCCUGUGGCUCCUUUCGAUGCCGCUGCAUGCUUCAUGGAAAUAGGCAUGGCUAUCAUCAUGUCCUCGUGGAGUGAAAACUAUGGAGAUCAAUCUGAAGGCAAGGAUCUCAUGUCUCAGUUCAAGGUUGCCGCCAAGGCAAUCGCUUCAGCCUUGAGCCCAAAUGACGAAGACAUUCCUCAUGGCUUUAUAUUUGCCACCUUCAUGCUGUCGUCUAUGCUGGGUAGCUCCAUUGCAUCACGCCUGUUGGCCCGGAAGAUGAAGGUUGAAGGUUAUAUGCAGAUCGUGUUUGCAGUAUCAGCCUUCACCCUUUUCCUCCCAGUUGCCACCAGCCUUUUGGUGCCGACGUCUUCAGUGGAAGGAAGCGGCAUCUCAUUUGGGGGCUCUCUACAGCUGCUUGGUAUCUGUACGUUUGAGUUAUGCGUCGGCAUUUUCUGGCCAUCCAUCAUGAAGAUGAGAUCUCAGUACAUUCCUGAGGAGGCAAGAAGCGCCAUCAUGAACUUCUUCCGCAUACCGCUCAACCUGUUUGUCUGUGUGGUGCUCUACAAUGUAAGAAAAUAUAUCCGUUGA
rnacentral:rRNA from 1 species